UAAGUCAGCCAUAUCACCCUGCAGCUCAAGACUGGUUGCCCACUGAAGCUAAGCAGGGUUGAGCCUGGUCAGUACCUGGAUGGGAGACCUCCUGGGAAAACGUCUCAGGUUACGUAUGUAA
ensembl:rRNA 5S_rRNA 5S ribosomal RNA